AAUAGAUACCCGGGUAGUCCACGCCGUAAACGAUGAGUGCUAGGUGUUAGGGGGUCCAACCCUUAGUGCCGAAGUUAACACAUUAAGCACUCCGCCUGGGGAGUACGGUCGCAAGACUGAAACUCAAAGGAAUUGACGGGGGCCCGCACAAGCGGUGGAGCAUGUGGUUUAAUUCGAAGCAACGCGAAGAACCUUACCAGGGCUUGACAUCCCUCUGACCGCUCUAGAGAUAGAGCUUCUCUUCGGAGCAGAGGUGACAGGUGGUGCAUGGUUGUCGUCAGCUCGUGUCGUGAGAUGUUGGGUUAAGUCCCGCAACGAGUGCAACCCUUGUCCUUAGUUGCCAGCAUUCAGUUGGGCACUCUAAGGAGACUGCCGGUGACAAACCGGAGGAAGGUGGGGAUGACGUCAAAUCAUCAUGCCCCUUAUGUCCUGGGCUACACACGUGCUACAAUGGCUGGUACAAAGGGUAGCGAACCCGCGAGGGGAAGCCAAUCCCAAAAAGCCAGUCACAGUUCGGAUUGUAGGCUGCAACUCGCCUA
rnacentral:rRNA from 1 species